UUUACGAGGGUAAGGUUACUGACGCAGGCUUAGGUAUCGGUUACGUCUGCGGUGUCUGCACUGACUUCUACGUAGGAUUAGGAGAAGACAAACCAGGACUUUUCAGUGGGACGCACACCUUUACCCACGAAGCUGCUCACCUGCUAGGCGCAAAGCAUGACGGAGAUGGUCCCAACGAGGCUAUGCCUGGCCACCCUGGAGCGAAGAGCUGCUCAUGGGAUUGGGGUCAUAUCAUGAGUUACAUAAACAAAGGUCCAUCU
rnacentral:lncRNA from 1 species